rnacentral:rRNA from 1 species
CCCAUUUAAAAGAAGUCCCCCCAAUUCCCCCUUUUUUACAAAGGGAUCCCCUAGUAACGGCGAGUGMMSWGGGRAGAGCUCAAWUUUGRAAGCUGGUACCUUCGGUAUCCGCGUUGUAACCUCGAGACACGUUUUCCGUGCGGCGCUAUGGACAAGUUCCUUGGAACAGGACAUCGUAGAGGGUGAAAAUCCCGUACUUGCCAUGGAUGUACCGUGCUUUGCGAUACGUGCUCUAAGAGUCGAGUUGUUUGGGAUUGCAGCUCAAAAUGGGUGGUAGACUCCAUCUAAAGCUAAAUAUCGGGGAGAGACCGAUAGCGAACAAGUACCGUGAGGGAAAGAUGAAAAGCACUUUGGAAAGAGAGUUAAAAGUACGUGAAAUUGUCGAAAGGGAAGCGCUUGAAGUCAGCCAUGCCGCUCAGGACUCAGCCUGGCUUUUGCUUGGUGUAUUUCCUGGGUAGCAAGUCAGCAUUGGUUUGGAUCGUCGGAGAAGCAUAGUCGGAAUGUGGCGCCCUCGGGCGUGUUAUAGCCUUCUAUUGGAUACGACGAUCUAGACCAAGGAACGCAGCGCURCMUUAUGGYKSRUCUWCGKACRSSYYCGCGCUAGAGGGGGGAUAAUAAAAGAGGAUUACGUAAGACCAUAAC